rnacentral:rRNA from 1 species
GUCCACGCUGUAAACGAUGCAUACUAGGUGUUGGCCCUUUGGGGCCAGUGCUGCAGUUAACGCAUUAAGUAUGCCACCUGGGGAGUACGUCGGCAACGAUGAAACUCAAAGGAAUUGACGGGGGCCCGCACAAGCGGUGGAGCAUGUGGCUUAAUUCGAUGCAACGCGAGGAACCUUACCUGGGCUAAAUCCACAGUGCAAUUUCUGGAAACAGGAAGUCCCUUCGGGGCGCUAUGGAAGGUG